CGCUGGGCUUGGGGCGUUGAUUACAACGUUUUGGCUUCUGAAGCCCGGGUGGCGGAGCUGUUUGCAGCCUAAGGGCAGAGGAGUAUCCAGAAGAAGUAGCUUCUACAAUACCAGACUCACUGCUUUAUUUUUCCUCAUCUUUGAUGUCAAAUGAUUGCAUCCCUACUUGUUCAUUUUUGACUGCCAUAAGAUGGAUGACCUGUGUUGGGGCCGUAUUUCUGGCCUCCUUCGAUGCGGAACAUGUGGUCAUCGAAGAAGAUGUGAGGCCUUAUCUUCGCCAAGAUGGGACCUUUGGAGGAUCCUGCGAGGAAGAGGGCUUCAUCUAUUUCUAGACCCCAACGGCGAAGGGUUUUCAGCACACGGGCACCUGAGCUGGCUGCGCUCCUGGCUGUAACAAGGUUGUGAGAGAAUGCGAGGAGAGAGCCAGGAGUGAUCCCUGAGCAUCACUGAGUCUAACCCACAAACCAAAAUAUUUUUUUAAAAACUUAAAAUAACUUCCUUGUAUACUGUCAACUCCCAGAUUUUUAUUUUGGGGAGACCAGAAAACAAGGGUCCACAGAGAUGCAUUUUUUCUCCCUCACAUC